GUGGGGGAUAUUGCGCAAUGGGGGGAACCCUGACGCAGCAACGCCGCGUGAAGGAAGAAGGUUUUCGGAUCGUAAACUUCUUUAAGUGGGGAAGAUAGUGACGGUACCCACAGAAUAAGCCACGGCUAACUACGUGCCAGCAGCCGCGGUAAUACGUAGGUGGCAAGCGUUGUCCGGAUUUACUGGGUGUAAAGGGCGUGUAGGCGGGAUGGUAAGUCAGAUGUGAAAUACCGGGGCUCAACUCCGGGGCUGCAUUUGAAACUGCCGUUCUUGAGUGUCGGAGAGGAAAGCGGAAUUCCUAGUGUAGCGGUGAAAUGCGUAGAUAUUAGGAGGAACACCAGUGGCGAAGGCGGCUUUCUGGACGAUAACUGACGCUGAGGCGCGAAAGCGUGGGGAGCAAACAGG
rnacentral:rRNA from 1 species